CACCUCGGGUGACAGGGAGACAGGUGGUGCAUGGUUGUCGUCAGCUCGUGUCGUGAGAUGUUGGGUUAAGUCCCGCAACGAGCGCAACCCCUACGUUUAGUUGCUAACAGGUGAAGCUGAGCACUCUAGACGAACUGCCGUUGACAAAACGGAGGAAGGUGGGAUGACGUCAAAUCAUCAUGCCCCUUAUGUUCUGGGCUACACACGUGCUACAAUGGCCGGUACAGACGGAGGCGAAGCCGCGAGGCGGAGCAAAUCCGAAAAAGCCGGUCUCAGUUCGGAUUGCAGGCUGCAAUUCGCCUGCAUGAAGUCGGAAUCGCUAGUAAUCGCAGGUCAGCAUACUGCGGUGAAUACGUUCCCGGGCCUU
rnacentral:rRNA from 1 species